UCGGCACUGGACGAGGCACAGCGUGUUGGCCUCGUGGUUUUCGAUCAUUGCUGGCUCCUUUUUGAUCACUUUGUGCGUCGUUUCAGUGACCGACA
rnacentral:pre_miRNA from 1 species